CCUACGGGAGGCAGCAGUGAGGAAUAUUGGUCAAUGGUCGGAAGGCUGAACCAGCCAAGCCGCGUGAGGGACGAAGGUGCCAAGCAUUGUAAACUUCUUUUGUCAGGGGACAAAAUCAGGCUCGCGACCAUGACCGAGGGUACCUGCAGAAAAAGCAUCGGCUAACUCCGUGCCAGCAGCCGCGGUAAUACGGAGGAUGCGAGCGUUAUCCGGAUUUAUUGGGUUUAAAGGGUGCGUAGGCCGUAUGUCAAGUGUGCUGUGAAAGGCCCGGGCUCAACCCGGGCCUUGCCGCGCGAACUGGCGUGCUUGAGUCGGAGAAAAGCAGGCGGAAUUCGGCGUGUAGCGGUGAAAUGCGUAGAUAUGACGAAGAACCCCGAUUGCGAAGGCAGCUUGCUGCAGCGGAACUGACGCUGAUGCACGAAAGCGCGGGUAUCGAACAGGAUUAGAUACCCGUGUAGUC
rnacentral:rRNA from 1 species